AUUGAACGCUGGCGGCAGGCUUAACACAUGCAAGUCGAGCGGGGUGAGGUGCUUCGGUACUGAUCCUAGCGGCGGACGGGUGAGUAAUGCUUAGGAAUCUGCCAUUUAGUGGGGGACAACAUUCCGAAAGGGAUGCUAAUACCGCAUACGUCCUACGGGAGAAAGCAGGGGAUCUUCGGACCUUGCGCUAAAUGAUGAGCCUAAGUCGGAAUUUAGCUAGUUGGUGGGGUAAAGGCCUACCAAGGCGACGAUCUGUAGCGGGUCUGAGCGGAUGAUCCGCAACACUGGAACUGGGACACGGCCCAGACUCCUACGGGAGGCAGCAGUGGGGAAUAUUGGACAAUGGGCGGAAGCCUGAUCCAGCCAUGCCGCGUGUGUGAAGAAGGCCUUUUGGUUGUAAAGCACUUUAAGCGAGGAGGAGGCUACCUAGAUUAAUACUCUGGGAUAGUGGACGUUACUCGCAGAAUAAGCACCGGCUAACUCUGUGCCAGCCGCCGCAGUAACAC
rnacentral:rRNA from 1 species